rnacentral:rRNA from 2 species
AUGCAUGUCUGAGUAUAAGCAAUUAUACCGUGAAACUGCGAAUGGCUCAUUAAAUCAGUUAUCGUUUAUUUGAUAGUACCUUACUACUUGGAUAACCGUGGUAAUUCUAGAGCUAAUACAUGCUGAAAACCCCAACUUCGGGAGGGGUGUAUUUAUUAGAUAAAAAACCAACGCCCUUCGGGGCUUCUUGGUGAUUCAUGAUAACUUCACGGAUCGCAUGGCCUUGCGCCGGCGACGGUUCAUUCAAAUUUCUGCCCUAUCAACUUUCGAUGGUAAGGUAUUGGCUUACCAUGGUUUCAACGGGUAACGGGGAAUUAGGGUUCGAUUCCGGAGAGGGAGCCUGAGAAACGGCUACCACAUCCAAGGAAGGCAGCAGGCGCGCAAAUUACCCAAUCCCGACACGGGGAGGUAGUGACAAUAA